rnacentral:lncRNA from 1 species
ACCAUAUUCUUCAGGCGAGCUUCUUAGCUUGCAACUGAUGAUGUUCACCGUGUUCUUCAGGCGGGCUCCUAACUUGUUGUUUCUUCACCCUGUUAUUCAAGCGGGCUCCUGGACUUAUAAUUUCUUCACCCCUGUUCUUCACGCGGGCUCCUGGAAUUAUAAUUUCUUUACCCUGUUCUUCAGGCGAGCUCCUGGACUUAUAAUUUCUUCAUCCUGUUCCUCAGCGGGCUCUAGG